UACGUAGGGUGCGAGCGUUGUCCGGAAUUACUGGGCGUAAAGAGCUCGUAGGUGGUUUGUCGCGUUGUCCGUGAAAACUCACAGCUUAACUGUGGGCGUGCGGGCGAUACGGGCAGACUGGAGUACUGCAGGGGAGACUGGAAUUCCUGGCGUAGCGGUGGAAUGCGCAGAUAUCAGGAGGAACACCGGUGGCGAAGGCGGAUCUCUGGGCCUUACCUGACGCUGAGGAGCGAAAGUGUGGGGAGCGAACAGG
rnacentral:rRNA from 1 species